rnacentral:lncRNA from 10 species
GCCGGGCGUGGUGGCGGGCACCUGUAAUCCCAGCUACUAGGGAGGCUGAGGGAGGGGAAUUGCUAGACCCCGGGAGCUGGAGGUUGCAGUGAGCCAAGAACGUGCCACUGCACUCCAGCCUGGGCGACAGAGAGAGACUCCAUCUCAAUAAAUAAAUCAAUCAAUAAAUAUUAAAAAAAAAAAAAAAAGACUGGCUGGAUUAUAAAUUUCUUUUUUUUUUUUUGAGACAGAGUCUCCUCACUCUGUCGCCAGGCUGGAGUAGAGUGGUGCGAUCUUGGCUCACUGCAACCUCUACC